rnacentral:rRNA from 1 species
CAAUAGCGUAUAUUAAAGUUGUUGCAGUUAAAAAGCUCGUAGUCGGAUUUCAGGGCGGGGCUGCCGGUCUGCCGAUGGGUAUGCACUGGUGGGCUCGUUCUUCCUUCUGGGGACUGCGCCUACUCUUGACUGAGCGGGCGUAGGAAACAGGACUUUUACUUUGAAAAAAUCAGAGUGUUUAAAGCAGGCCAAGAUGCUCUUGCAUGGAUUAGCAUGGGAUAAUGGAAUAGGACUUUGGUGCUAUUUUGUUGGUUUCGAACACCGAAGUAAUGAUUAAUAGGGACAGUCAGGGGCACUCGUAUUCCGUUGAGAGAGGUGAAAUUCUUAGACCAAUGGAAGACGAACUUCUGCGAAAGCAUUUGCCAGGGAUGUUUUCACUGAUCAAGAACGAAAGUAAGGGAUCGAAGAUGAUUAGAUACCAU